rnacentral:rRNA from 1 species
AUACGUAGGAUGCAAGCGUUGUCCGGAAUUACUGGGCGUAAAGGGUCCGUAGGCGGUUUGUUAAGUCUUCUGUGAAAGUUCAGGGCUCAACCCUGAAAUGUCGGGGGAUACUGGCAAACUUGAGACUGUCAGAGGCAAGUGGAAUUCCCGGUGUAGUGGUGAAAUGCGUAGAUAUCGGGAGGAACACCAGUGGCGAAAGCGGCUUGCUGGGACAGUUCUGACGCUGAGGGACGAAAGCGUGGGUAGCAAACCGGAUUAGAAACCCCAGUAGUCC